rnacentral:snRNA from 1 species
UGUCCUCCAUAGGAGGUCUAUAUUGAGCAGAUUCUUUUUGGUAUUGGGUGGUGGAACUGGAGCGUGCUCCAUCCACUCCAUGCAUUGACAUGGUAUUACAGUGCUUCCAGGACCGGUGC